AAACAAAAUCGUGAGUGGAGUGAUAUCAAAGAUUUGAUCCAGUAAGCACAUGUGUUAGAUAAAUUAGUAUCCAAUGUAAAAGAUUGUUAUAAAUAUUUUCUGUAGGGAAAAAGCGUGAGUGGAUAUUUAACAAGCUAAUUUUGAAGAAAAAAAGGAGCCAUAAAGUGAGAAGCAAUAACGUGAGUCACCGCAGUGACCGCGUGGAGCAUUGGGGUUGAGGAGUAGCUUCGUUUGGUGGAACACCGAGCCACAGAGCGUAAUUGGCACAACAAGCUGCUCGCCAAAACCAUCGGCACCGUGCGAUCGGACUAGGGCGAUCCCCUGGAGGUUCUCCUCGUCUCGUGGCUGCGUGCCGCUAGGAGUGCCCCCAGAGUGCGUGGUCAACGGUUUUAAGGAUUCGGCCUCGCGAAACCACACCGCUACCCGUGGUUGCCUGCGAACGCGAGUAGUCUGACUGGGGAAAGAAACCCACAGCCAGCGAGAUCCGCCCCCACACUCACGUCCCGGGUAUAAAAGAUCCAUGGAAUUUAGUCCGAUCGCCUCCAACUCCCACCCCACGUUCGUGUAAGUACCACGCCACGGUUGAUGGUAUUAGUGCUCUCCAGACUGGGCCGUCUGAGCUAUUAGCGUCGUGUUUUGCAUCGAACAUCGAGGCGACGCCUGGUACCGAGCCCUCGGUGCACUCGGUCGGCGACCAUCCGACUCCAUCACCAACAACUGAGAACGCCUGGCUUAGCUCGACUAACAGCCGGCCGUCGGUCACCGCACGAAGAUCGGCGUCGCUGCCGGCCGCUACACCAUCGGUAGGCUGGUCGAUCAGGUAACUCACCCGGCAGAGAAUGUAAGUACCUGACAUUUUUAUCGGAGCAUGAGCACCCAAACACCAAUACCUAGAGCGAGAAUGAGUGAUCAGUAGG